rnacentral:rRNA from 17 species
CAUACGACUCUCGGCAACGGAUAUCUCGGCUCUCGCAUCGAUGAAGAACGUAGCGAAAUGCGAUACUUGGUGUGAAUUGCAGAAUCCCGUGAACCAUCGAGUCUUUGAACGCAAGUUGCGCCCGAGGCCUUUCGGCCGAGGGCACGCCUGCCUGGGCGUCA